rnacentral:rRNA from 1 species
UACAGAGGGUGCGAGCGUUUAAUCGGAAUUACUGGGCGUAAGCGCACGUAGGUGGCGACGUAAGUCGGGUGUGAAAGCCCCGGGCUCAACCUGGGAAUUGCAUUCGAGACUGCUAUUGCUGGAGUACGGAAGAGGAAGGCGGAAUUCCCGGUGUAGCGGUGAAAUGCGUAGAUAUUCGGAAGAACACCAGUGGCGAAGGCGGCUCACUGGCCCGGUACUGACGCUGAGGUGCGAAAGCGUGGGGAGCAAACAGG